rnacentral:rRNA from 1 species
UACGAAGGGGGCUAGCGUUGUUCGGAAUUACUGGGCGUAAAGCGCGCGUAGGCGGACUCUUAAGUCGGGGGUGAAAGCCCGGGGCUCAACCUCGGAACUGCCUUUGAUACUGUGAGUCUCGAGACCGGAAGAGGUGAGUGGAAUUCCUAGUGUAGAGGUGAAAUUCGUAGAUAUUAGGAAGAACACCAGUGGCGAAGGCGGCUCACUGGUCCGGUUCUGACGCUGAGGUGCGAAAGCGUGGGGAGCAAACAGG